rnacentral:rRNA from 1 species
CUCGUAGGCGGCCAACUCAGUCGGAUGUGAAAUCCCCAGGCUUAACCUGGGAACUGCAUCCGAUACUGGUUGGCUUGAAAUCGGGAGAGGGAAGCGGAAUUCCGGGUGUAGCGGUGAAAUGCGUAGAUAUCCGGAGGAACACCGGUGGCGAAGGCGGCUUCCUGGACCGACACUGACGCUGAGGCGCGAAAGUGGGAGGGCAAACG